rnacentral:tRNA from 1 species
UAUUCAAGUAGUUUAUUUAAAAUUCUAAUUUGUGGAGUUAGGGAUAUACGUUAGUUGUCUUGAAUAA